GAUGAACGCUGGCGGCGUGCUUAACACAUGCAAGUCGAACGGAAAGGCCCAAGCUUGCUUGGGUACUCGAGUGGCGAACGGGUGAGUAACACGUGGGUGAUCUGCCCCGCACUUCGGGAUAAGCCUGGGAAACUGGGUCUAAUACCGGAUAGGACAGUGGUUUGGAUGCCAUUGUGGAAAGUUUUUUCGGUGUGGGAUGAGCUCGCGGCCUAUCAGCUUGUUGGUGGGGUAAUGGCCUACCAAGGCGUCGACGGGUAGCCGGCCUGAGAGGGUGUACGGCCACAUUGGGACUGAGAUACGGCCCAGACUCCUACGGGAGGCAGCAGUGGGGAAUAUUGCACAAUGGGCGCAAGCCUGAUGCAGCGACGCCGCGUGGGGGAUGACGGCCUUCGGGUUGUAAACUCCUUUCGCUAGGGACGAAGCGUCAUGUGACGGUACCUAGAGAAGAAGCACCGGCUAACUACGUG
rnacentral:rRNA from 1 species